AGAGUUUGAUCAUGGCUCAGAGCGAACGCUAGCGGCGGGCCUAACACAUGCAAGUCGAGCGGGGAGCAAUCCCAGCGGCGAACGGGUGAGUAACACGUAGGUAAUGUGCCUUUUGGUGGGGAAUAACCGUGGGAAACCAUGGCUAAUACCGCAUAUCGUGCUUCGGCAUGAAAGCUUCUGAGGCAACUCGGGGGGCGCCAGUUGAGCAGCCUGCGUCCCAUUAUUUAGUCCUAGUUGGUAGGGUAAUGGCCUACCAAGGGUACGAUGGGUAGCUGGUCUGAGAGGAUGAUCAGCCACACUGGAACUGAGACACGGUCCAGACUCCUACGGGAGGCAGCAGUGGGGAAUAUUGCGCAAUGGGGGAAACCCUGACGCAGCGACGCCGCGUGGGUGAUGAAGGCCUUCGGGUCGUAAAACCCUUUUGCCACUGACGAGGAAGGACGGUAGGUGGCGAAUAAGCCCCGGCUAACUCCGUG
rnacentral:rRNA from 1 species